rnacentral:rRNA from 1 species
UGGGGAAUAUUGCACAAUGGGCGAAAGCCUGAUGCAGCGACGCCGCGUGAGGGAUGACGGCCUUCGGGUUGUAAACCUCUUUCAGCAGGGAAGAAGCGAAAGUGACGGUACCUGCAGAAGAAGCGCCGGCUAACUACGUGCCAGCAGCCGCGGUAAUACGUAGGGCGCAAGCGUUGUCCGGAAUUAUUGGGCGUAAAGAGCUCGUAGGCGGUUAGUCGCGUCUGCUGUGAAAACUCGAGGCUCAACCUCGGGCUUGCAGUGGGUACGGGCUGACUAGAGUGCGGUAGGGGUGACUGGAAUUCCUGGUGUAGCGGUGGAAUGCGCAGAUAUCAGGAGGAACACCGAUGGCGAAGGCAGGUCACUGGGCCGCAACUGACGCUGAGGAGCGAAAGCAUGGGGAGCGAACAGGAUUAGAUACCCUGGUAGUCCAUGCCGUAAACGUUGGGCACUAGGUGUGGGGUCCAUUCCACGGAUUCCGUGCCGCAGCAAACGCAUUAAGUGCCCCGCCUGGGGAGUACGGCCGCAAGGCUAAAAACUCAAAGGAAUUGACGGGGGUCAUAGCUGUUUCCU